GUUCUUCCUACCCUUGUGCUGCAUGCAGACCUCUUGCUGCUGACUUUGGUUUAGAGGAACCACUCUGAAUAGAAAGCCUGAGCUCUGGGUGCUCAUGUGUGAAAAUUUUGGCCAAACAUCUGUCGGGAUGUAAACACAGAAGGAGUAUUUGGCUGCUGGCUGCGUUACCUGUGUAGGAACAAGAAGGCAGAUGGGAGUGUUCUGUUGUGCAUAACAAGACACAGGCUUCCCUUAAUGACCUCAUCCUGCUAACCAUGAAAAGGAAAUCCACAGGAUAUGGAGCAAUUUUCCUCUUUUGCUGCUGCUCAUGUGAACUCAGGGAUCUGUGA
rnacentral:lncRNA from 1 species